UUUAAAGGUUGAGGAAGUCAUGAAGAUAAUCCUCUUUCUGCCGUAUGUUUCCUGUGCCCUCUGGUUCCCCGAUCUAUUUCUCUCCCCUUUCCCUGUUCUUCUGUGUCUCCUGUUUUCCAUCUGCAUUUUCCCUCAGCAGCACCCAUUUCCUGUGGGUUUCAUCGCCACCCCCACCCCGACUCCAUCUGUUGCAGAGAUCAGCGAUGAAGUUCACUUGCAAUUACACUCGCAGGGAAUUUCGCCAACAGCCACCGCGCGUGAAAAAGCGAACGCCCCGCUGCCAGGAGGGGCAGAGAGGAGAGGUCACCCCACCGCCCAGCAGCAGCCACGGGCAGAAAUGCUGCCUUAUGUAAGUCCAGUUCCAGGAUCGGAGCAACAAAUUACAAAAGCAAUUUGAGAUAACAGCUGCUUCCAUUUUAUGAGGAUUUCUGGUGGAACACUGCCCGUCAGCCUACAGUAUCUUCUGGACUCCUAUGAGGAAAACUUCUGGAAUGCAGUCUCUCCUUGGAGAUGCAGAAUGUGGGAAGGCAGCCUGGGCAGAGGCAGUAGACAAUCCCCUUUCUAGCCCGUGUUCUUGAAAUACAGGAACUGAUGGCCCUCAGCACUCAUUAUGAGAUAGAUCUUGCUUUUUUUUUCUGUUUCAUUUUCUAAAAUACCAUAAUACGAGAGGAAGCAUAGAAAAUGUAUUUGCUCCAAGGUAACAGAAAUGUGCUAAUUAGAAAUCCCAGUCACUACCUACAGGACAGUUCUGUUUUUCAGGGACUGAAAAUAAUACAAGACGUGGCAUGAAAUCCAGGAAGUGGCAGAAUGCAUUCCAAUUUCUCCAGUUUCUGCGAAGACUUAUUUUUCUUUCCUUUGAAGAGAUCUGAGCGAAAGAGAAAGUCUUCAAGAGUCAUCUGCAAUCCCACUGGUGGGCCAGAGCACUUCAUCCAUGGGAAGCCCAGCACAGGCACCAAGUGCACUGCUGCACUGUGCCAGCUGUGAGCCAGUUACAUUGCAUGCAGGGUGUCUAUAGACACCAAGCUGAACUUUCCUCUCCCAUGGAGAUUCUUUGGUUUGAUGAACAUAACUGACAAAGUACUGGCAAAUACGCAGUGGUUGGAAUUUUGUCAUUUUCAGUGGGAAAACAUACAUAAAAAAUGCUUUUUCAGCAAUCAGACUA